rnacentral:rRNA from 1 species
UACGGGGGGGGCAAGCGUUGUUCGGAAUUACUGGGCGUAAAGGGCUUGUAGGUGGCCAACUAAGUCAGACGUGAAAUCCCUCGGCUUAACCGAGGAACUGCCUGUCAGACUGGAAGGCUUGAGACCGGGAGAGGUGAGUGGAAUUCCCAGUGUAGCGGUGAAAUGCGUAGAUAUUGGGAGGAACACCAGUGGCGAAGGCGGCUCACUGGACCGGAACUGACGCUGAGGCGCGAAAGCGUGGGGAGCAAACAGG